ensembl:lncRNA
UAACAUCACCGUCUGUCUGUCUGUCUGUCUGUCUGUCUGUCAAAACCCCAUCAGUUCACUACGACUCAGAGUGGACAUGAUCAAUAGAUAACAUCACCGUCUGUCUGUCUGUCAAGACCCCGUCUGUCAAGACCCCAUCAGUUCACUACAACUCAAAGUGGACAUGAUCAAUAGAUAACAUCACUGUCUGUCUGUCUGUCAGCGUUGGGCUCAAUUCAGACUUGAGUUAAGAAUACUUCUUGAAUUUGAAUUGAAGUAGUAAACAGAAUACAGAAUUGAAAUUUGAAUUUGAAUGAAAGGAAAUAGAAUUGAAUUCAGUGAAAUUCAAAUGCCUCUUGUAUUGUAUAUUAGGUGUAGUCUAUAACUAUAUAUGUUGAAACAGUAGAUUUUUAGGACAAACUAUCUUCCAAUUAAUUAAUGAUCUAGGACAACAAAUCCUGUAUGCAAAUAUUCUGUUUUCAUUAAUCACUUAUUAAUCACACAUAUAUAUAUAUAUAUACUGUAUACACAAAACAUUAGUUUCACCCCUUUUUUCCCUCAGAACAGCCUCAAUUUGUCGGGGCAGGGACUCUACAAGAUAUCAAAUGUGUUCAUCAGGGAUGCUGGCCCAUGUUGUCACAGGGAUGCUGGCCCAUGUUGUCACAGGGAUGCUGGCCCAUGUUGUCACAGGGAUACUGGCCCAUGUUGACUCCAAUGCUUCCCACAGUUGUGUCAAGUUGGCUUGAUGUCCUUUGGGUGAUGGAUCAUUAUUGAUACACACAGAGAAACUGUUGAAUGUGAAAAACCCAGCAGCGUUGCCGUUCUUAACACAAACCAGUACACCUGGCACCUACCACCAUACACAGUUCAGACACUUAAACAUUUAGUCUUGUCCAUUCACCCUCUGAAUGACACACACAAUCCAUGUCUCAAUUGCCAUUCUUUAACCCGUCUCCUCCCCUUCAUCUACACUGAUUGAAGUGGAUUUAACAGGUGACAUCAAUAAGGGAUCAUAUCUUUCACCUGGAUUCACCUGGUCAGUCUGUGUUUAGGAAAGAGCAGGCGUUCCUAAUGUUUUGUGCACUCCGUGUAUAUUGUAAAUGCUAACUGACAGAGUAAUUGUCCCAUAAGUUUUAAAUGAGGUGUUAACAUUUGGUAUUGUUUGUAAACAUUUAAAUAAAAGCUAUUUAGUUCAGUUUUUAAGUUGUAAUGGGGAGGAUCAGUAGUUCAGAGGGCAGGGUGAUCAGUAGUUCAGAGGGCAGGGUGAUCAGUAGUUCAGAGGGCAGGGUGAUCAGUAGUUCAGAGGGCAGGGUGAUCAGUAGCCAGGGUGAUCAGUGGCCAGGGUGAUCAGUAGUUCAGGGGCAGGGUGAUCAGUAGCCAGGGUGAUCAGUGGCCAGGGUGAUCAGUAGUUCAGAGGGCAGGGUGAUCAGUAGUUCAGAGGGCAGGGUGAUCAGUGGCCAGGGUGAUCAGUAGUUCAGAGGGCAGGGUGAUCAGUAGUUCAGAGGGCAGGGUGAUCAGUGGCCAGGGUGAUCAGUAGUUCAGAGGGCAGGGUGAUCAGUAGUUCAGAGGGCAGGGUGAUCAGUAGCCCAGGGUGAUCAGUGGCCAGGGUGAUCAGUAGUUCAGAGGGCAGGGUGAUCAGUAGUUCAGAGGGCAGGGUGAUCAGUAGUUCAGAGGGCAGGGUGAUCAGUAGUUCAGAGGGCAGGGUGAUCAGUAGUUCAGGGGGCAGGGUGAUCAAUAGUUCUGUGGCCUGGGUGAUCAGUAGUUCAGAGGUCAGGGUGACCAGUGGCCAGGGUGAUCAGUAGUUCAGAGAGCAGGGUGAUCAAUAGUUCAGAGAGCAGGGUGAUCAAUAGUUCUGUGGCCAGGGUGAUCAGUAGUUCUGUGGCCAGGGUGAUCAGUAGUUCAGAGGUCAGGGUGAUCAGUAGUUCAGAGGGCAGGGUGAUCAGUAGUUCUGUGGCCAGGGUGAUCAAUAGUUCUGUGGCCAGGGUGAUCAGUAGUUAGAGGUCAGGGUGAUCGGUAGUUCUGAGGUCGGGGUGAUCGGUGGUUCUGUGGUCAGGAUGAUAGGUAGUUCUGAGGUCAGGGUGAUCGGUAGUUCUGUGGUCAGGAUGAUAGGUAGUUCUGAGGUCAAGUCUGGCCAGGGUGAUCAGUAGUUCUGUGGUCAGGAUGAUCAGUAGUUCUGUGGUCAGGGUGAUCAAUAGUUAUGUGGCCAGUGUGAUCAGUAGUUCAGAGGGCAGGGUGAUCAGUAGUUCUGUGGCCAGGGUGAUCAAUAGUUCUGUGGCCAGGGUGAUCAGUAGUUAGAGGUCAGGGUGAUCGGUAGUUCAGAGGUCAGGGUGAUCGGUAGUUCUGAGGUCGGGGUGAUCGGUAGUUCCGGGGGUCGGGUGAUCGGUAAUUCCGGGUCAGGAUGAUCGGUAGUUCUGUGGUCAGGGUGAUCAAUAGUUCUAUGGUCAGGGUGAUCGGUAUUUCAGGGGCCAGGGUGAUCGGUAGUUCAGAGGUCAGGAUGGUCGGUAGGUCUGUGGUCAGGAUGGUAGGUAGUUCUGAGGUCAGGGUGAUCAAUAGUUCGGAGGCCAGGGUGAUCGGUAGUUCGGCGGCCGGGAUGAUCAGUCGUUCUGAGGUCAGGGUGAUCAGUAGUUCGGAGGUCAGGAUGAUCGGUAGUUUGGCGGUCAGGGUGAUCAGUAGUUCUGAGGUCAGGGUGAUCGGUAGUUCUGAGGUCAGGGUGAUCGGUAGUUCUGAGGUCAGGGUGAUCGGUAGUUCUGAGGUCAGGAUGGUCGGUAGUUCUGUGGUCAGGAUGGUAGGUAGUUCUGAGGUCAAGUCUGGCCAGGGUGAUCAAUAGUUAUGUGGCCAGGGUGAUCAGUAGUUAUGUGGCCAGGGUGAUCAGUAGUUAUGUGGCCAGGGUGAUCGGUAGUUAUGUGGCCAGGGUGAUUGGUAGUUCAGAGGUCAGGGUGAUUGGUAGUUCAGAGGUCAGGGUGAUUGGUAGUUCAGAGGUCAGGGUGAUUGGUAGUUCAGAGGUCAGGGUGAUUGGUAGUUCAGAGGUCAGGGUGAUUGGUAGUUCAGAGGUCAGGGUGAUUGGUAGUUCAGAGGUCAGGGUGAUUGGUAGUUCAGAGGUCAGGGUGAUUGGUAGUUCAGAGGUCAGGGUGAUUGGUAU